rnacentral:lncRNA from 1 species
UUUAUUAUAAAAAUUUAUUAUAAAACAUAAAUUUAUCUUUUAUUCAAAUUUAUCUUAUUUUUACAUUAUGUAUUUAUAAAAAUAAGUUUAUCUUUUAUUCACACUUAUCUUAUCAUUAUCUUUAAUUUUUAUAUUAUGUAUCAUUAUCUUUUAUUUUUACAUUAUGUAUACAUAAAUGUAAACUUAUCAUUAUCUUUUAUUUUAUAUUAUGUAUACAUAAAUGUAAAUUUAUCUUUACAUAGUCAUAUGGGUGGGACUCACACUGCCGCUAGAGGCUGUAGCGGUAGGCAUGCA